rnacentral:rRNA from 1 species
GGGGGGGGGGGGGGGGGGGCGGGACAGAGGCAGGGCGAGCGGGAGCGGAGGGAGAGGGUGGUGGUACGGGGGGGGAGGGGGGGGCGGGGGAGGAGAACAUCGGAAUCUACGUUGGCGUGGGGGAUAACGUAGGGAAGGUUACGCUAAGACCGCAUACGACCUACGGGGGAAAGCAGGGGAUCUUCGGACCGUGCGCGAUGGAAUGAGCCGAGGUCGGAUUAGCUAGUUGGCGGGGUAAAGGCCCACCAAGGCGACGAUCCGUAGCUGGCCUGAGAGGAUGAUCAGCCACACUGGAACUGAGACACGGUCCAGACUCCUCCGGGAGGCAGCAGUGGGGAAUAUUGGACAAUGGGCGCAAGCCUGAUCCAGCCAUACCGCGUGGGUGAAGAAGGCCUUCGGGUUGUAAAGCCCUUUUGUUGGGAAAGAAAAGCAGCAGGUUAAUACCCCGCUGUUCUGACGGUACCCAAAGAAUAAGCACCGGCUAACUUCGUG